rnacentral:rRNA from 1 species
UUCUACCUUUCUGACGAACCAUCAUGUCAUUAAUUCUGGUGUGGUGGGGAAUCAGGACUGUUACUUCUGAAAAAAUUAGAGUCGUUUAAAGCAGGCUCGCGCUUGAAUACAUUAGCAUGGAAUAAUGAAAUAGGACGUCUGAUCCUAUUUUGUUGGUUUCUAGGAUUGACGUAAUGAUUAAUAGGGAUAGUUGGGGGCAUUAGUAUUCAAUUGUCAGAGGUGAAAUUCUUGGAUUUAUUGAAGACUAACUACUGCGAAAGCAUUUGCCAAGGAUGUUUUCAUUAAUCAAGAACGAAAGUUAGGGGAUCGAAGACGAUCAGAUACCGUCGUAGUCUUAACCAUAAACUAUGCCGACUAGGGAUCGGAUGAUGUUA